CCUACGGGAGGCUGCAGUGGGGAAUAUUGCACAAUGGGGGGAACCCUGAUGUAGCGACGCCGCGUGAAGGAAGAAGUUUUUCGGUAUGUAAACUUCUAUCAGCAGGGAAGAAAAUGACGGUACCUGACUAAGAAUCCCCUGCUAACUACGUUCCAGCAGCCGCGGUAAUACGUAGGGGGCAAGCGUUAUCCGGAUUUACUGGGUGUAAAGGGAGCGUAGGCGGCGUUGCAAGUCAGAAGUGAAAGCCCGGGGCUCAACUCGGGGACUGCUUUUGAAACUGUGUUGCGAGAUUGCAGGAGAGGUAAGUGGAAUUCCUAGUGUAGCGGUGAAAUGCGUAGAUAUUAGGAGGAACACCAGUGGCGAAGGCGGCUUACUGGACUGUAAAUGACGCUGAGGUUCGAAAGCGUGGGGAGCAAACAGGAUUAGAUACCCCAGUAGUC
rnacentral:rRNA from 1 species